CUCCGGACGCGCGGUGGGCCGCCAGACUGCCUGUAAAGCAGUCGCCCCUUGUGGGCAAUGUGGGUUCGAUUCCCACCCGGGGC
rnacentral:tRNA from 1 species